ACCCAGGGCAUUAAAACCACUUCAGUCUAAUAGCCUUCUAUUUAUUUUAAGACUUUCUACAUGUCUUAUCAACCUGAAUCUUUUUUUUCUAACUCUGACAGAUGGAGAACAACCUGUGUCUUGUGUUGGUGCUAAUUCCUCUAGUUGCUAACACCAAAGCAACAACAUUGCUAACCAUGCCUACUAAAGAUUCUGCUGUUGUUCCUGGUCUAUGCUGAAAUUCCACAUCAAGGACCCUGACAUCUACAUCAAGGUUCUCCUGCAGAGAAGAAUAUCAUGUGAAAUAUUGAUAAAGUUCUUCCAAGAACAGCAAAAUUGUUGCGAUGCUUAA
rnacentral:lncRNA from 1 species